rnacentral:rRNA from 1 species
UACGUAGGGGGCUAGAGUUGUCCGGAUUUACUGGGUGUAAAGGGUGCUCAGGUGGACUUGUAAGUCAGAGGUGAAAUUCCAAAGCUUAACUUUGGAGCUGCCUUUGAUACUGCAAGCCUUGAGUUUGAGAGAGGGUAAUGGAAUAUCUGGUGUAGCAGUGAAAUGCGUAGAUAUCAGAUAGAACACCAAUGGCGAAGGCAGUUACCUGGCUCAAAACUGACGCUAAAGCACGAAAGUGUGGGGAGCAAACAGG